ensembl:miRNA predicted gene, 22518
GGAGUGUUAGGGCCGCCCUUGCCUAGGGUUGGCACAUCUGAGCCAAAUUGGCAAAGCCUCCUCCUCCU